rnacentral:rRNA from 1 species
ACAAAGGUAGCAUAAUCAUUAGUUUUUUAAUUGAAAACUCGUAUGAAUGGUUUAACGAAAUAUUAGCUGUUUCAUAAAAAUAAUAAUAGAAAUUAAUUUUUUAGUUAAAAAGCUAAAAUAUAAUUAAAAGACGAGAAGACCCUAUAGAGUUUUAUAUAAAAUUUUUAAAGUUUAUUUAGAAUAGUUUAAAUUUUAUUUUUAUUUAUAUUUUGUUGGGGUGACAAUAAAAUUUUAAUACCUUUUAUUUUUUAUUAACAAUGAUUUUUGAGUAAUUGAUCCACUUUUAGUGAUUAUAAGAUUAAAUUACCUUAGGGAUAACAGCGUAAUUUUUUUGUAGAGUUCUUAUCGAUAAAAAUUUUUGC